rnacentral:rRNA from 1 species
CCGAAUGGGGAAACCCACUGCUUCGGCAGUAUCCUGCAGUGAAUUCAUAGCUGCUGGAAGCGAACCCGGUGAACUGAAAUAUCUAAGUAACCGGAGGAAAAGAAAUCAACCGAGAUUCCCUAAGUAGUGACGAGCGAACGGGGAGCAGCCCUUAAGCUGGAAUGGCUUUAGAAAAACAAUCUGGAAAGAUUGGCCAUAGAAGGUGAUAGCCCUGUAUUUAAAAGGGCCACUCCAGUGAAGACGAGUAGGGCGGGGCACGUGAAACCCUGUCUGAAUAUGGGGGGACCAUCCUCCAAGGCUAAAUACUCCUGACCGACCGAUAGUGAACCAGUACCGUGAGGGAAAGGCGAAAAGAACCCCGGAGAGGGGAGUGAAAUAGAUCCUGAAACCGUGUGCGUACAAGCAGUAGGAGCUCGCAAGAGUGACUGCGUACCUUUUGUAUAAUGGGUCAGCGACUUACUGUUCGUGGCAAGCUUAACCGUAUAGGGGAGGCGAAGGGAAACCGAGUCUGAUAAGGGCGCAUAGUCGCGGGCAGUAGACCCGAAACCGGGUGAUCUAGUCAUGGCCAGGGUGAAGGUGCCGUAACAGGUACUGGAGGCCCGAACCCACGUCUGUUGCAAAAGACGGGGAUGAGCUGUGAUUAGGAGUGAAAAGCUAAUCGAACCCGGAGAUAGCUGGUUCUCCUCGAAAGCUAUUUAGGUAGCGCCUCAUAUGUAUCCUCUCGGGGGUAGAGCACUGUUAUGGCUAGGGGGUCAUCGCGACUUACCAAACCAUUGCAAACUCCGAAUACCGAGACGGACUGUAUGGGAGACACACGGCGGGUGCUAACGUCCGUCGUGAAAAGGGAAACAACCCAGACCCACAGCUAAGGUCCCAAAUUCACUGCUAAGUGGAAAACGAUGUGGAAAGGCAUAGACAGCCAGGAGGUUGGCUUAGAAGCAGCCACCCUUUAAAGAAAGCGUAAUAGCUCACUGGUCGAGUCGGUCUGCGCGGAAGAUUUAACGGGGCUAAGCAGUGAACCGAAGCUUGGGGUGCAUAAAAUUUGUUUUAUGCGCGGUAGAGGAGCGUUCCGUAAGCCUGCGAAGGUGGAUUGAGAAGUCUGCUGGAGGUAUCGGAAGUGCGAAUGCUGACAUGAGUAACGAUAAUGCGGGUGAAAAGCCCGCACGCCGAAAGCCCAAGGUUUCCUUGCGCAACGUUAAUCGACGCAGGGUUAGUCGGUCCCUAAGGCGAGGGCGAAAGCCGUAGUCGAUGGGAAGCAGGUUAAUAUUCCUGCACCUCGCGUGAGUGCGAUGGAGGGACGGAGAAGGUUAGGUGUACCGGGCGUUGGUUGCCCCGGGGAAAGGCGGUAGGUUUGGAUCUUUGGCAAAUCCGGGAUCCUUUAAGACCGAGCACCGAGACGAGCCUUUAUGGCGAAGUCACUGAUACCACGCUUCCAGGAAAAGCUCCUAAGCUUCAGCUCACGAAGACCGUACCGUAAACCGACACAGGUGGGUAGGAUGAGAAUUCUCAGGCGCUUGAGAGAACUCGGGUGAAGGAACUAGGCAACAUGGCACCGUAACUUCGGGAGAAGGUGCACCCUUUUUGGUGGCUCGUGCGAGCUAUAGCUGAAGAGGGUCGCAGAAACCAGGCCGCUGCGACUGUUUAUCAAAAACACAGCACUCUGCAAACACGAAAGUGGACGUAUAGGGUGUGACGCCUGCCCGGUGCUGGAAGGUUAAUUGAUGGGGUCAGCCGCAAGGCGAAGCUCUUGAUCGAAGCCCCAGUAAACGGCGGCCGUAACUAUAACGGUCCUAAGGUAGCGAAAUUCCUUGUCGGGUAAGUUCCGACCUGCACGAAUGGCGUAACGACAGCGGCGCUGUCUCCACCCGAGACUCAGUGAAAUUGAAAUCGCUGUGAAGAUGCAGCGUUCCCGUGGCAAGACGGAAAGACCCCGUGAACCUUUACUAUAGCUUUACACUGAACGUUGAGUUCGUCUGUGUAGGAUAGGUGGGAGGCUAUGAAACUGUGGCGCUAGCUGCAGUGGAGCCAUCCUUGAAAUACCACCCUGUCGUGCUUGACGUUCUAACCUAGGUCCGUUAUCCGGAUCAGGGACCGUGUAUGGUGGGUAGUUUGACUGGGGCGGUCUCCUCCUAAAGAGUAACGGAGGAGCACGAAGGUACGCUCAGCGCGGUCGGACAUCGCGCACUGUGUGCAAAGGCAUAAGCGUGCUUGACUGCAAGAUCGACGGAUCAAGCAGGUACGAAAGUAGGUCUUAGUGAUCCGGUGGUUCUGUAUGGAAGGGCCAUCGCUCAACGGAUAAAAGGUACUCCGGGGAUAACAGGCUGAUACCGCCCAAGAGUUCAUAUCGACGGCGGUGUUUGGCACCUCGAUGUCGGCUCAUCACAUCCUGGGGCUGUAGUCGGUCCCAAGGGUAUGGCUGUUCGCCAUUUAAAGUGGUACGCGAGCUGGGUUCAGAACGUCGUGAGACAGUUCGGUCCCUAUCUGCCAUGGGCGUUGGAAGUUUGAGAGGGGCUGCUCCUAGUACGAGAGGACCGGAGUGGACGAACCUCUGGUGUUCCGGUUGUCACGCCAGUGGCAUUGCCGGGUAGCUAUGUUCGGAAGCGAUAACCGCUGAAAGCAUCUAAGCGGGAAGCGCGCCUCAAGAUGAGACUUCCCGGGGCACAAGCCCCCUAAAGGAACCAUGUAGACUACGUGGUUGA